rnacentral:lncRNA from 1 species
AUGCGCUUUGGGCAGGGCCGUGGCAGGAGCUGUGCUGUGCUGGGCACCACGAGCAGCAGGGCUGGGAGCAUGGCCGAGCCGCCGGGGGUUUUGGGGCAGGGAAAUAGAUCAGCUCACGGUUUCCAAAAAGACAAAGAUCAGCUGAUCUCAACACCCCUUCCUUGCACACAGCGCGCGGUUGUAAGACACGGCCACAUUACAAUGAUCUACAGGAGCUCUCGCUGGAGCCCUGCCACAGCCUGGCCGGGUUCCCGGAGGAGCUCGAGCCCUGCAGAGGCAGCAGCAGCACCGCCACAGCUCCCUCUCUCCCCUUCAGACCCCACAUUCCUCCUCCCGAGGCUCAUUCGAAGCGGGCACCCCCUGUUCGGGGCCGCAUCCCGUGCGCCUGUUGGGCGGUGCUGUUCCUCUCACGGCAGUACUUACUGCACGCCGUGCCUGCCGGUUACCGCGCUCCCUGGUAAUCCAAACCUCCACUUGGAGAGCUCGGGGUGUCUCCCUGCUCCGCUCCGCGUGGGCACGGCGCUGUCGUGCAGCCGAGCCGUGGCAGAUGGGUGGGCUGCAGCGAAACGCGGCACUGACUCACAAAAUCCCUGCAGCGGCUCCGGGGGAAUUUCGCCUCAUCCCCGCGGAAGGCAGCGUGAGCAAUCCUCACCUGGACCCUCCUUGCACGGGUGCCAGCCCCAGGAAAAGCGGGCAUCCUUUCCUGGACGUCUCAUUAGGCACUGCAGCACCGCGGUCGUUUUAAUUAAGCAAAGCCAACUGCUUUUGCUGGACGCGCUGCUGCUGAAACUCCCAGGCAAUUCUCUGUUUCGUCUCCCACACCUUUCAGUCUGUUCCCUCGCCCUGCAAGCAGGCGCUGGGAGGACGAAGCCCUCCCCAGGUGCUGAAGCAGCCCCGUGGGGACACCAGGGUGCCGGACCCCCUCCCACCAAGGGCUGUCCUCAGCCUGCAGCGUCGGGCACGGGGGAUUUUUGGGCACAAGGAGGCCACCAGGAGCCCGACCCGUGGCUUCACCUGACAGCGAGAGGCAGCAGGAGCGAGGAGCAUGAAAUACCGAGCGCGAUUCCCUCCUCUCUCACAGCUGAUGAGGAAAUAAAUUGCCAGAGCGGCAGCUUUAAGGACUCGGGGUAG